rnacentral:rRNA from 1 species
UACGUAGGUGACCAGCGUUGUCCGGAUUUACUGGGCGUAAAGAGCGCGCAGGCGGUCGUUCAAGUCGAGUGUGAAAGCCCCCCGGCUCAACUGGGGAGGGUCAUUCGAUACUGAUCGACUCGAAGGCAGGAGAGGGAAGUGGAAUUCCCGGUGUAGUGGUGAAAUGCGUAGAUAUCGGGAGGAACACCAGUGGCGAAGGCGACUUCCUGGCCUGUUCUUGACGCUGAGGCGCGAAAGCUAGGGGAGCAAACGGGG